GGAGAAUAGGUAAAUAUUGGUUUGUUACGCUCACCUGCUAAGUGAGUUCACGGCAACGUGAUGAAGGUUCGAUUCCUUUGUUCUCCG
rnacentral:tRNA from 1 species